rnacentral:lncRNA from 1 species
UAGAAUUAACCAUCAAUGGUAGCAUCACAAAAAGAGAUGUAACCAGAUACUAUGUGCAUUUUUUUUUUAUUUUUUAUUUUUUGGUACUGGGGAUUGAACCCAGGGUGCUUUACUACCGAGCUAUACCUCCAGCCAUUUUUAUUUUUAUUUUGAGACAGAGUCUAAGUUGCUGAGGCUGGCCUUGAACUCGAGAUCUUUUUUCCUCAGCCUCCAGAGUCACUGGGAUUGCAGGUGUGCACCACCAUGCUUGUCUAUUAUAUGCUUCUAGAUGGACCUAAAGAAACUACCACCUGUAUGAAUUUCCUGUGUCUGCUGUAACAAAGUAUCAUAAACCGAGUGUCUUCAAACAAUAGAAGUUUAUUCUCUCACAGUUCUGGAAGCUAAAAAUCCAAAAUCGAGGUGCUCACAGUCUAUGCCCCUUCAAAGUCUCUAGGGGAAGUUCCUUCUUUAACUCUUCCUCUUCCCUCCCUCUCUUCCUUCCUUCCACUGGGGAUGGAACCUGGGGCCUUGUGCAUGCCAGGUAAGCACUUGACAACUGAGCUACACUUUCAACCCAACUGCUGACAAUCUUUGAUUUCCUUGAUGGCAUCAUAACUUCAAUUUCUGUCUCCAUCUUCACAUGAUGGUCUUCUCUCCAUAUGUGUCUGUUUCCAAAUUGCCCUCAUCUUAUAAGGACAGCAGUCAUUGGAUUUGGGGAAACCUAAUCCAAUAGGACCUCAUCUUUAACUUGAUUUUUAUCUACAAGGGCCCUAUUUUCAAAUAAGGUCACAUUCACAGGUUUCAGAAGGACAUGACUUUUGGAGAGAGUAUUCAGCCCAGAAUAUUCUACCUAUGAGAAAAAUCAAACAGGAAUUUAUUCGAACCCAUACAGUCAAGUAAAAAUUUACAGGCAAUGAAUGAGACUGAAUAACAAGUUAAAUGACUUCACAGGGAUGCAAAUGGCCAACUCCAGACUAGGGGGAAACUCUACAGGACAGAAAACCUGAUAUCUUCAACAAAUAAAUUGCAAGGAAAAAUAUCAUAAAGAAGGAACCUAUAGUUUAAGGUACACUUAAAGAAAUAUCCACUAGUAGUGAUAUCUAGACUUCAUUUGGAUCCCAAUCAAACAAACAUUAAAAUAUGACCACAUCUAUGACACUUGGGAGAUGAUUAGAAAUUUGAACACUAGUUGAAUCUCCACUGAUAUUAAGGAAUUAUUGUGUUUUACAAAAUAUGGAAUAAUAAUAGUUGUAUUGUGGUUAUGUUUUUGUUAAAGUGUCCUUUUCUUUUUAAGACACAUAGUAAAUGUAUUGAUAAAAUGGCUUAAUGUCUGGGAUUUGUUUCAAAAUAAUAUGGGAAUGGGAGAUGUAGGUAGGAAUAUGGCUGUAAC